rnacentral:misc_RNA from 1 species
CUCUCUCUCUCUCUCUCCCUCUUCCCCCCACCAACAUGAAGGAGAAAAGUGCAGGCAAAGAGAAAUUGUGAAUCACAUUCUGACACAUACCGAGCUAUCCCAAUCUGAGCUAACGAAAAUUUUUGAGUCAUCACUGUCAAGAAUUUAGAGCAUUUUACUCACAUAAAUUGAAACCACAUACACACAAACCACACCCUAAACAUCAUCCUACAGAAAGCUAUUAGAUGCAAUGCAGCAGGUAAAGCCAAUAAGCUUGAAUAACAGACAACUCCAAAGAGUUGAACAUGAGUAGCUUCCUGUUUCACAUUUUACAUCUAGACUAAUGAUUUUAAUAAAGCCAAAAAUCCUCAAAUGGCAGGUUCAAACAGCACCAAGAUGUACACCUGUGUCAUCAAUUACAAUUAAUAUACAGCCCAGUAAAUUUUUAAGUUACUCAUAAAGAUGUUUUUCAAAACGACUAAAAUUGUUUAACGCAUGCAGAAAAUCUAUGUAGCACGGAAACGGACACUGGGAAACUGCAUUUUAUAUUAUUGGUUUAUUUAUUUUAAACUCCCACCUCCUGUAUAAUUAUUAAAAAAAGUAGUAUAUUAAAGAUAUUAAAAUUUGAGUUUACAUCUCAAUUAAAAUCAAUUCAAAAAAUAAAGUAAAGAGUAAAAAUAAUAAGAUAAAAAUUACAAUAAAAAUUUUCAAUUUAAAAGCCAGCCUCUCAUUUCUCUAUCUCUCUCUCCUUAAAAGCUAGCAUUUCCAGCAUUUGUUUUCUGGUCAUGUGCGACACAACGUUAAAAGCCAGCCUCCCGUUCUUCUCAUUCUCACGCUCUCUCUCUAAUACUCUUCUUCUCCACCGAUUAUCAGCUUUUUAUCAUCUUUUUUGGUUCCAUUCUAUC